rnacentral:lncRNA from 1 species
AGAAAGAAAAGCCUAAAUAAGGAUUUGUUCAACGGACCAUAACCAUUCAUGGCUCAAAGAGGGUUAUACUACUUUUGUGCCUGGAAACGUUUCUAGCAAAGUCUUCAUUUCCUGGACCAAAGGAUGUGUGAUUUAUGCGAAGAUCUGCCCUCCUGUUGCCUCAUGGGCUGGGACCUUUGGAGAGACUCUUUGUGUAUUCUCAAGAAAGGCUUAGUAUUUAGAAGGUGCUCGACUCCUUUUCUGAGAAGACUCUUUCCCUGAUUCUCUUCCAAAGCCCUGAUUAGAAUGAAACUAACAUCUAUUUGAAAAGGUAAUCAUUCUCACUCAGAUGAGUUCUGCUCUGAAAGUGAGAGGAAAAAAAAUCCAGAAUUGGGGCACUGCUAUAGACUGAAUGUUUAUGUCUCCUUCAAAUCAGAUGUUGAAAC